UACGAAGGGGGCUAGCGUUGCUCGGAAUCACUGGGCGUAAAGCGCACGUAGGCGGAUUGCUAAGUCAGGGGUGAAAUCCUGGAGCUCAACUCCAGAACUGCCUUUGAUACUGGCGAUCUUGAGUCCGGGAGAGGUGAGUGGAACUGCGAGUGUAGAGGUGAAAUUCGUAGAUAUUCGCAAGAACACCAGUGGCGAAGGCGGCUCACUGGCCCGGUACUGACGCUGAGGCGCGAAAGCUAGGGUAGCAAACGGG
rnacentral:rRNA from 1 species